AAGAUCAAGGUGCCUGCAUCUGGCGUCUAGUGUGGACCCUAUUCCUGGUUUGCAGCAUUGUUGGUGCUCUGAGGGUGUCAGCCAGGCCACUCAUGCAGACCAUUGCGGCAGCACUGAAAAUGGAAGAAAGAUGGGAUUCUGCUGUCUUUUGUUUUGGCUGAUGAACAGCACCGAGAUGGAGUGGCUCCAGCAGCCAGAACAAGCCACCAUCUCCCCUGGGCUUUCACAGUAGCCUCCUGACUGGUCUUGUUGCUUCCACACUUACACUUCCUGUUCUCUGCAAGGCAGCCAGAGUGACCUUUCACUAAUUUCAACACAAGUCAUUGGUUGGGAGUAGAGGGCACUCUGCAUGGUCGUCUGGAACCAGGGUUUGCCUACAUGAUGGGUCUCCAUUUGCCACCGGCCUUGGACGUCUCCACUGGAUGCUCUGAUUUCACCUGAUAAGUAAAGGGAGAGAGACAGAGCAUGGAGAAUUACACAGAUCUGCAUGGAACAAUGCUGCUUCUCUGCAUGACUAGAGUUUGUUUUCUCUUU
rnacentral:lncRNA from 10 species